CUGGAGCGUAGUGAUGCCAUCUUGGCUUACUCUGCAGCCACCGCCUCCCAGGUUCGAGUGAUUCUCCCGCGCCAGCCACCCGAGUAGCUGGGAUUGCAGGUGCCUGCCACCAUGGCCAGCUGAUGUUUUUAUUUUUAGUAGAGACAGGAUUUCACUAUGUUAGCCAGGCUGGUCUCAAACUCCUGGCCUCAAGUGAUCUGCAUACCUCGGCCUCCCAAAGUCCUGGGAUUACAAGCAUGAGCCACCGUGCCCGGCCUUAUUUAAUCAUAGAGGACAAGAAGCCUUCAUCAAUCUCUUAUUCUAUCCACCCUCCUUUUUUUGAUUCCAAGCGCCUUGUCUGGCCUGUAGUUGCCACUCUUUAAACACUGAACUAAAAGUGUAUCAUUCACAAAGAGACCCCCAGGAUCUGCUGCUCACCUCCAAGCUCUGCCCACAUGGACACUUUGACGCGUAUCGAAGUGACCAUGUGCUAACCUUGCCCUUGUCUCUACUACAGUUCUUAUCUCAGAUUGUUGACCUGCUGUGGCUUCAGGGCAACGUGAACUAAGUCAGUGAUUUAUGUGAGAAAUCAUGCAGUUGGAAGAGCGUGAAAUUUGGAAUUGAGAUAGUGGAGUUCUCAUCCUGCCUCAUCCUCUGUGCAUGCCCCUGGACCAGGAUCUUCUAGAUUUCAUGCCUCUUUCUCUCUAAGUGUCAAAGAAGGGAUUAAACUAGACAAACACUUCUCCAUCCAAAACCAUUCUCCCAGAGUCAUGCUGCUUUUUUUCAGAGCACGUUGCACCUUUGUGAUUAUAUUAAUAUCAUCAUCUGUGUGACAUUGUGAUCCACAUCUGUCUCCUUCAGAGGGCUUGGGCCUAUGGAGAACAGGGGCUUGUCUUGCUUAUGCUGUGUGAUUUUACGUGCUUAUAUUUACUGAGUACCACACAUAUGUCCAAUACAUAAGUACUCAUUUAAGUCUCGUAACAACCCCUGAGUAGGACUCUUGUUUUCCUGACGAUGCAUGUGGGGAAGUUCCACAAAGACAUGCCUACUUGCUGGUAUAAUUAAGACGCGAACUCAAGGAGACUAUUUAUCAUCAUCAUCAUCAUCAUCAUCAUCAUCAUCAUCAUCAUCAUUUGAGAUGGCAUCUUUUCUCUAUUGCCCAGGCUGGAGUGUAGUGGUAUGAUCUCAGCUCACUAUAGCCUCUGCCUCCCAGGUUCAAGCAAUUCUCCUGCCUCAGCCUCCCAGCUAGCUAGGAUUACAGGCAUGCACCACCAUGCCCAGCUAAUUUUUUUACUGUUAGUAGAGACUGGAUUUCACUAUGUUGGCCAGGCUGAUCUCAAACUGCUGACCUCAAGUUCUCCACCCUCUUCGGCCUCUGCAAGUGCUGGGAUUACAGGCAUGAGCCAUAGCACCUGGUAGAUGUAUGUAUGUGUG
rnacentral:lncRNA from 1 species